rnacentral:lncRNA from 1 species
UCUGCGUUGCCUGCGGUAGUAAUGUUGGGGAUGGAACUGAGCACCGUCUUGGAUCGUGGCUAAUGCUUACUUGUUUCCAGACUUCUGUGAUCUCUUCUGCUAUGUUCUUAACGGCUAUGGCUGCUAAUCCUUUGAGUGCUAAUCUGGCGUUCAACACGAUCAAGCAGACCAUUGGAUGGACUGAUUGGGCUAAAGCUGCGAUUGUUCCAGGACUUGUCUCAUUGAUUGUUGUCCCGUUUCUUUUGUAUAUUAUCUAUCCUCCUACGGUCAAAAGCAGUCCUGAUGCUCCCAAGCUUGCUCAGGAAAAGCUUGACAAGAUGGGACCUAUGUCCAAGAACGAAUUGAUUAUGGCCGCCACUUUGUUCCUCACUGUAAGUGUGCUUCUGCUUCGUGAGCUCUGUUCUUAUGUUUUGUUUGAUACUUUACAAAUGGGUUUGCUUUUUCAAGGUUCGAUACUUGACGCUAUCAUUGCUAAUCUAAUUGCACUUUUUGCAAGAGUUUGAUUUAAAAGGUGCUUCAAUAUAGAACAAGAAGAUAUUUUUACGCUAUUUCGGCUCAUUAGAUUGUAGCCAUUUCAUCUUACUUUAAAUAAAGCAAGGUGUCUGCUUCUGUUUAAAGCAUUUUGCUUCGAGUGAAAAUGUUCUGGUUUUAGUGUUCAAACUAGACAUAAGAUUUUCG